AUUGAACGCUGGCGGCAUGCUUUACACAUGCAAGUCGAACGGCAGCGCGGGCUUCGGCCUGGCGGCGAGUGGCGAACGGGUGAGUAAUUCAUCGGAACGUGCCCAGUAGUGGGGGAUAGCCCGGCGAAAGCCGGAUUAAUACCGCAUACGACCUGAGGUUGAAAGCGGGGGACCGAAAGGCCUCGCGCUAUUGGAGCGGCCGAUGUCGGAUUAGCUAGUUGGUUGGGUAACGGCUUACCAAGGCGACGAUCCGUAGCUGGUCUGAGAGGACGACCAGCCACACUGGGACUGAGACACGGCCCAGACUCCUACGGGAGGCAGCAGUGGGGAAUUUUGGACAAUGGGGGCAAGCCUGAUCCAGCCAUGCCGCGUGCGGGAAGAAGGCCUUCGGGUUGUAAACCGCUUUUGUUCGGGAAGAAAUCCUCUGGGCUAAUACCCCGGGGGGAUGACGGUACCGGAAGAAUAAGCACCGGCUAACUACGUG
rnacentral:rRNA from 1 species